GGAGAGCUGACCGAGCGGCCGAAGGUGCUCGCCUGCUAAGCGAGUAAUCCCCACAAGGGAUUCUGGGGUUCGAAUCCCCAGCUCUCCGCCA
rnacentral:tRNA from 1 species